rnacentral:lncRNA from 1 species
CAACCAUGUCUGUUUCAAAUGUUAUAAGUUGAUUAAUAUACACAUCAACUUCAUCAGAAAGGAUGAGUUUGGAAAUUACUUACCCAUGCAUAAGCCGAGAAGAUGGCAACUCCUCUUUGAAAUGGCUCAAUUUCUCUGAAGCUCUCAUAUUGAUUUAGAACCUUUCGUCCAUACCAAUCAAUGAUCUUUUUACAUAUAGAUAAUAAAAAAGAAAUGAUUCAAUAUGUCUUGUAAGCCUUACUGAAUGUAAUGGAAAUUUAUCAAAUAUAAAGUCAAGAGAAACUUACCUGGUAAUCGAUGUAUUUCCCAGUCAUAAGAUCAUUGAUCUGGGAAGUUGUUAUGAUAAUUUCCUGGUUUGGUGACUGCCAUGUCAUAGUGCUGCAGUUAUUAAGAUAAUUAGAACAUUAAUAAUAAUGAUUAAUCUACUAAUCUAUAGUUUUUUAAUAAAGAAAUUACAACAUUACCUUCCAUCCUUGACAUCAUUCACAUAUUUAUCUAGCACCUCCUGUUCUUUUCUUAGUAACAUUUGAUAGUAUUUGGUUGUUUUCCAAUCAGCUAGAGGAACCUUUAUUUUCUCUUCAUUUCCUAGGUCCAUUUC